GAUGAUCGCUGGCGGCGUGCCUAAGACAUGCAAUUCGAGCGAGAAGCUAACUUCUGAUUCCUUCGGGAUGAUGCGGUUAGCAGAAAGUGGCGAACGGGUGAGUAACGCGUGGGUAAUCUACCCUGUUUAAGUGGGGGAUAACCUUCCGAAAGGAGGGCUAAUACCGCAUAAUAUCUUUCCCUCAUAAAGGAGAUAACAUUAGAGAUGGCCUCUAUUCUAUGCUAUCGCUUCAGGAUGAGUCUGCGUCCUAUUACUUAGGUGGUGGGGUAAUGGACUACCUUGACCACAAUGGGUAGCCGGUCUG
rnacentral:rRNA from 1 species